CGGACGAACGCUGGCGGCGUGGAUUAGGCAUGCAAGUCGGACGGUAGGGCUUUAUCGUAAGAUAGAGUUUGAGAGUGGCGAACGGGUGAGUAACACGUAGGAAUCUACCCUUAAGACGGGGACAACCCAGGGAAACUUGGGCUAAUACCGGAUGAGAGUGCGAGAGAUUGCAUUUAAAAGGAUGGCGAAAGUUGUCGCUUAGGGAUGGGCCCGCGUCCCAUUAGCUAGUUGGUGAGGUAACGGCCCACCAAGGCGACGAUGGGUAGCCGGCCUGAGAGGGUGAACGGCCACACUGGGACUGAGACACGGCCCAGACUCCUACGGGAGGCAGCAGUUGGGAAUCUUCGGCGGAAUGGGCGCAAGCCUGACCGAGCAACGCCGCGUGAGUGAUGAAGGUUUUCGGAUUGUAAAAGCUCUGUCUUCCGGGACGAUAAUGACGGUACCGGAGGAGGAAGCCACGGCUAACUACGUG
rnacentral:rRNA from 1 species